GGGUGAGUAACACGUGGGUAACCUGCCCAUAAGACUGGGAUAACUCCGGGAAACCGGGGCUAAUACCGGAUAACAUUUUGAACCGCAUGGUUCGAAAUUGAAAGGCGGCUUCGGCUGUCACUUAUGGAUGGACCCGCGUCGCAUUAGCUAGUUGGUGAGGUAACGGCUCACCAAGGCAACGAUGCGUAGCCGACCUGAGAGGGUGAUCGGCCACACUGGGACUGAGACCCGGCCCAGACUCCUACGGGAGGCAGCAGUAGGGAAUCUUCCGCAAUGGACGAAAGUCUGACGGAGCAACGCCGCGUGAGUGAUGAAGGCUUUCGGGUCGUAAAACUCUGUUGUUAGGGAAG
rnacentral:rRNA from 1 species